CACUCUGAAGAUUCAAGUUGAGCCGCCAAGAAGCUGAAGCCGAAGACUCCGCGACUCUCAAAGAUUCCGAGACUCCGAGACUCUACCUGAGAUUCCGAGACUCUACCUGAGAUUCCGAGACUCUACCUGAGAUUCCGAGACUCUACCUGAGACUCAGAGACUCUACCUGAGACUCUACCUGAGACUCUGAGACUCUACCUGAGACUCUCCUUGAGGCUCAGAGACUCUACCUGAGACUCUCCCUGACACCUCUCUGAGGCCUUCUCACUCGACUCGCUCUCCCUGCUUGAGUGAAGAACCUCGCCGAGCUUCUGCACGACGGUGGAAGGAUGGAAACAUCUCCCAGUUGGCAAUACACCCAUCAACAGAAAGUUGAUCCCCAACAUCGAUAUGAAUUGGAGAGGUUUCCUCUCAUCAGCAACAACGUUGAGAAGAGUCCACAGACGAGGAUGAGAAGGAUGAGAAGCGAUCUCCCAGAGGUCCCCAGCGGAGGAACCACAUCCGCAGGAGAUGCGGAGCCAGCAGCACUCUCCAUCUCCCGUCUCGCGGGGAGCGGUGGACUCUCGUGCCAGCUUACCAGUCUUGACUUGCGCAAGGCGCAACGUUGAUGAAUCUGUGGAAGGGAAUGAACAUUUAGCUGCACGAUUCAUUAGAACCCGCCUUUUCCACUUGGCACACGCGAACCGAGCCAGCGUUGGGGGGGCUCCCACGGCCUGGGGGUGAGAGAGACAGAGAGAGAUCCCGUGUCUGUGUGUGCACGUGUCUCACCUGUGGCCGUACAUCUGCUGCACUAUUCCCGAUGGCUGCUGGUUCUCGUACAGAGGGGAAACAUCUCCCCCCCGGGGCUGGGAGACCUGUGAAGGAGACCGCCAUGAACAUCAGCUCGUCGAGAAUGCCCGAGUCAAACGCGCAAUUCGCUCACACAUCCCAAACCGAUGCUCCGGGCUUCACAGCGAACACCUUAACAUGGCUUUCAUUGCAAAUGUGUGUGUGUGUGAAUGCGUAUGUGGGUAAGUGUACAUGUGUAUGUUAUUGGGGAGCAGCAGCGUAACAGUUAGCGCGCUGCUUUAUAGACCCAGUUACCCGAGUUUGAUGCCCCUCACGGCCAACACCAGUGACCACCGAGCCUCAAAUUAGUACUUGGUGUGGUGUGUUAACAUCGCCACUCGGACACAAAAACUUGCCCCAGAAGUUUGUAAAGGCUGUACGUGGGAUCUGAGUCUUUAUUACAGUUUCAUAUGUGUUUGCAUAUGCAAGUCACUCCCUACCGAUCCCUGGCCAGUCUUCCAUUCGGCUGAUGGCACCAUGACCACUAUCUGACGCUUGCUUGAUGUAUCCCGGUCGAGGGACAGCGCACCGUGUGGCUCCAUGACUGUAGGGUCCGCGUUCACGAGUUCCUGCAGUUGGGGCAAUAGGCAAUCAGGACGCGGCCAACAUCCUUGGGUGUGGCCCCCGGUACCACCAGUGGUCCGCGACGGUCCUCCAGCUGUGAUGCAAACGCAGCUUGAACUGGAAAUAAUUACAAUGUUCAAACCUUUUGUUUUGAACAUUAAAUAAUACUUAAAACAUUCAUUUAUGGUAAACUACCCCGAUUAAACUACACUAACCCCAAGAUCUAAAUGCCCUCAAUAAAAAUAAAAACCUUUCAGCUGCAUUUAAAUAAAAAAGAAAUGUAUGUUCUGGUCAUAUUCAUCAUCCUGUAUGACUGACAUUAAGAGAGAAGUGGAAUGCGUUUUGUCACAAUAGUGAGAGGUUGGCGGGACAAAAAAGUUUGAGAAACACUACAGAGAUAUAUAUUUACCAGCUGGAGAGGCAGAGGGGUGCAAGGGUCGCUGUGGAGGGAGCCAUCAUCACUGGAAUCGAUGACCGAGGAGUCUGCCAACCACUUGGAGGACUCGGACUGUGACGGGUAGCCACUGCUGCUGUCACUGCUACUGCUGCAGUCGCUGCUGCUGCCGCUACUGCUGAUGUUGCUGUUACCGUUCCCGGUGCCAGCGAGGUGGAUGGUCAUGCUGCUGUUGCUCAUGGUCAUGCUGGUGGCCAUGGAUUCAUCCACAAGCGCGACAGGAGCAUCCCGGUCCAUUGUUGCCUGGGCGGUUGUUCCUGCGACAGAAGGACCCCAUCUGCUCGUCACUCGCGUGCUCUCGCGGUGCCCGAGAAGAUGGCAUCACAGAAGUACUUUUCGAAACCGCUUCAAUUAGAGCCUCGCUGUUCGCACUAGGGGCACUGCUUCAACACUCCUUACCUUUAAGAGUGCCACGGUGGCCAAAUGUUAACUAUCCUGCCUGGUAUAUAGGUGGUUGUGGGUUUAAUCUCGACCCUGACCCCUGUGGUAUAUAUGCAGUUUGCAUGUCUCUCCCAGUGGUCACAUAGAUUUUUCUCCGAGUCCUCCAGUUUUUCCCUCCACAUUUACAAUCAACAUCACGCGUUUAGCAACACCUGAGACCGGGCGAGUCUCUGACCACGUGCCGUACCCCCCCACCCCUGUCCCUCGCAACCACGCCAAGUUCAAUCCCCUCACCUGGUCUGCUGACCUUGUGGGACGAGUUCCUAUUGCGCCUCAAUCUGUUGCCAAAGGGCCAUUUGGACACCUUCUUGUGAUCUCCUGCUCCCGCGCUCCACUCCUUCUUUUCCUCCUCCUCCUUCAGCUUCUUGGCGGCGUUGACCGCGGCGGUGUCCCGCCACAACUCCUGGAUGAUCUUGUGCACCCUCACCUGAGUCUUACAGAGUUUAUACUGGGCCUUCAGGAGGGCCUUGUCGGCCGCCGAUCGACGCGGCCCCUUGCGACAAAAGCCGCCCCAGCAGGACGGGCUGGCCUCCUCCUCCUCCGGCAGGCCGUCGCUAGGCGAGAGGUCGCAACGCGUCGUGGUGGGAAUGUCGCCAAUAUCCGGUUGUCUGCAAACGUAGACGGAAUGCAGUUGGGGUCACAGAUGCUCGCAGGCUGUCGCGCCGACAGUCACGAGCAACUUUACAAUCACACUCGAAUCAAGUGAAAUAAUAUUUAUACUGGAGGAAUCCGAUGAGUUAUGAAGCUCUUUUUCAUAGAUGUUCAAUUGGAGGCAGGUCAGAACGCUACAACAACAAUACAAAAGCACGAUAGGAGUGCAGAGUGUAGAAAUAGGUAAACAAAUCACUUAAAAAAUGGGAAUUUGGUCAUAUAUGAAGGUCAGUGUAAAGUAAAAAAUAUGAAAAUAUGAGAACAAUAGUAUAACAAAACACAUAAAAAAACACCUUUUAGUCAUUUAUACAAAUAUGCAUUACAGUACUUGGUCAUACAGUACAGUGUACUGUAUUUAGGUCAUUGUUAAGUUAUCUCUAUAUUUCCAGCCUUUGGGUGUCAUCUGCUGGCUUUCGCGUUCUUUUCGCAAACUUUAACUUUUUACAAUAAAAAUUGUGUAUAUUUAUGGUAUUAAAAGAUAAAAUGCAUUAAUAUUAUACAGUACUGUACAUAUAUUUAAUGCAUUUAUGAGUUC